AUUUGUUUGAUACCUUCUUCACCGGCUUUACCGUUUUUCUUAAUGAAUUCUUCAUAAUAAGGUUUCAUUGCGGCUUUGAAUGGGGCGAGAUCCGGUUUGGUGAUGGUAACCCCUUCU
rnacentral:antisense_RNA from 1 species